GUCUGUCCACCAAUGGCACUGGUAGAAUUCACGGUUGCUAUGGAAACCCGUGGGUUUUCCGGUGCCAUACGUGGAUUGAU
rnacentral:pre_miRNA from 1 species